UGGGAAGUGCGCAAAUUAGGUAAAGCGAUCUGUCUUUGAAACAGAUGGUUGAAGGUUCGAUUCCUUCCUUCCCAG
rnacentral:tRNA from 1 species